AUGGCUGUGUCGGCCGGCAUGGCUGCUUUGCCCCGCGCGGCCCCGGCCCAGCGGUUCUCUGUACAAAAUACACUGGUCCGGGUGCCCUUUUGGCUGACGAUUGGAGCCAUGGGAAGUUGCCCAUUCAUCUGUUUAAAAAGGGGACUGAAUAGGGAACCAGGACAAAUCCUCAUGAAUAGCCUUCACAGUGGUUCUGGGCAAGAAACAGCCUCUGGUUGGCCUAGAAUGAACAUGGGUGUCCUGACCCAACUCUUUUGCCUUCUGCUGCUCUGGCACCCAGGUGUCAGAGGGAACACUGUGCUGACCCAGUCUCCAGCCCUCCUCUCUGUGUCUCUGAAAGAUACCAUCUCCAUCUCUUGUAAAGCCAAUCAGAGCAUUAGUGAUUAUUUAACUUGGUAUCAGCAAAAACCAGGCCAGGCUCCUAAGAUCCUUAUCUAUGAUGCUGAUAACCUGUAUUCUGGUGUCUCGUCUCGGUUCUCUGGGAUACAGUCUGAGACAGACUUCAUUCUCACAAUCAGCAGUGUAGAGGCUGAUGAUGCUGCCACUUAUUACUGCCAGCAGGACUAUGCAGUCCCUUGCACCAUGUUACAGCCCUUAACAGAAACCUUCCUUCUGGGCUGUUUGUGCAGCAGACAACUAGGUUAA